CAACUGUUGACAACGGAUCACUCGGCCCUCGUGUCGAUGAAGAGCGUAGCGAAUUGCGAAAAAUAGUGCGAUUUGCAUCCAUCGUGAAUCAUCAAGUCCCUGAACGCAACUUGCACCGCACGGGUCUUCUGUGCGGUUUGCCUGUUUGAGUAUCGAAUGACCAC
rnacentral:rRNA from 1 species